GCCAAACCUGUCACAGCCACGUGUCAAUCCGAUCUAGUAAGUCUCUCCUUGGAUUGGCUCGUUCGUUGGAUUUAUCACCGAUCGCGUCUUUAUCUAAUCAUCUUCCUCGAAACCUGCAACACACAAAAAAGAAUAAGGCAAUCUCUAAAACAUAAAAAGGCAUUUGGUGGCGUAGACGAGAGAGAGAGAGAGAGGAUCAAAGAUGGAUCACGAAGCAGAUGCAUACCGUACGGAUCUGAUGACCAUCACGAGGUUCGUGCUGAAUGAGCAAUCAAAGUACCCAGAGUCUCGUGGGGAUUUCACCAUUUUGCUAAGCAACAUCGUUUUGGGAUGCAAG
rnacentral:lncRNA from 1 species